rnacentral:siRNA from 1 species
GCCCGCCUCGUUGCCCGAUUCCA